GAUGAACGCUGGCGGCGUGCCUAACACAUGCAAGUCGAACGGAAAGGCCCUGCGCUUGUGGGGUUCUCGAUUGGCGAACGGGUGAGUAACACGUGAGUAACCUGCCCUUGACUUUGGGAUAACAUCAGGAAACUGGGGCUAAUAUCGGAGAUGAUCUCCUGCUGCAUGUGGGGGGAUGGAAAGUGUCGGCGGUGGGGGAUGGACUCGCGGCUUAUCAGCUGGUUGGUGGGGUAGUGGCUGACCAAGGCUUUGACGGAUAGCCGGCCUGAGAGGGUGAACGGCCACAAUGGGACUAAGGGAGGGAGCAGAAGGCUACGGGCGGCAGUAGUGGAGAGUAUUACACAGUGAGCGGAAGCCUGAUGCAGAGGCGCCGCGUGCGGAAUGACGGCCUUCGGGUUGUGAACCGCUUUCGCCUGUGACGAAGCGUGCGUGACGGUAAUGGGUAAAGAAGCACCGGCUAACUACGUG
rnacentral:rRNA from 1 species